rnacentral:rRNA from 1 species
CCUACGGGUGACAGCAGUGGGGAAUAUUGCACAAUGGGGGAAACCCUGAUGCAGCGACGCCGCGUGAGUGAAGAAGGAUUUCGGUAUGUAAAGCUCUAUCAGCAGGGAAGAAAAUGACGGUACCUGAGUAAGAAGCCCCGGCUAACUACGUGCCAGCAGCCGCGGUAAUACGUAGGGGGCAAGCGUUAUCCGGAUUUACUGGGUGUAAAGGGAGCGUAGACGGCAGCACAAGUCUGGAGUGAAAUGCCGGGGCUUAACCCCGGAACUGCUUUGGAAACUGUGCAGCUAGAGUGCAGGAGAGGUAAGUGGAAUUCCUAGUGUAGCGGUGAAAUGCGUAGAUAUUAGGAGGAACUCCAGUGGCGAAGGCGGCUUACUGGACUGUAACUGACGUUGAGGCUCGAAAGCGUGGGGAGCAAACAGGAUUAGAUACCCUUGUAGUC